CGGCAUGUGGUGAAACUUUGGUAAACACAACGGACUUAAAAUCCGUCGCUUCAUUGCUUGCCGGUUCGAUUCCGGCCAUGCCGACCA
rnacentral:tRNA from 1 species